rnacentral:lncRNA from 1 species
GUCAUCCCCUCCUGAUAUUCAGGGAUUUCCUGGGACAACAAGAGACUGCACCUGCCGGAUGAAUUCACUCAGGGGCAGGAAAGCUGGGCUGGGAGCUCUAGCGGGCGUUGCCUGACUACCUCACUGUCUGCUCUCUGAGGGAUGUUUCCUGGAACAAGUGGUUGCGCCCACCAGCUAAGUUCAGGCAUACGUGGGGCUGCUGGCCUGGAAGCUGGCGCUGAACCCUGUGCAUGUGUAGGGUGGAGGGGCGGCUGGCGGCUGGAGGGAGGGGAACAAUCCUGCUGCUCCUGGGCACUGUGACUGCAGUCUCUACUGGGGAGAUGGCACUGGUGCCUCUGUUCCAGGGUCCAAGGCUUGUGGAGGUCCCCUUGGACUUGAGAGCUGCCGCUGCAACAUUUCCGGUGGCUCUCUGCCUCAGUUUAGAAGCUGGGGGGAGGGUGCAGGGAGGCCGGCGGGGGGAAGGGGGGCGGUGGUGGGGGUCUUCCAUUCGCAACCUUACACAGGUUCCCGCGGAGAGUGUGAAGCCCUCAGGGGCCUCUUACUCACUCACCCUUUCCUGUGUUGGGGAGCUUCUCCUGGCUCCGCGUUUAUCCCAGACAGGCUGCUGCCCAGCUGCACUCCUCUCUGUUCUCUGUGUCGGCUUGCUGCCUUGAUCGAGUCCGACACGGUUUCUUAGAUAUCAGCUUGUAGGGUCAGUGUUCACCAGCCCUUUGUCUCCUCCCUGUGAGAGCAGCGCGCAGGAGCUACUUCCAGGCCGCCAUCUUGACUCAACCCCUCUUAAUGAUUCCUGUGUCUCCGGCUUUUAGAACUGAAGCAGUUAUAAGAAUAUAGACAUAUUCCACUCAGUCGGAGUGUUCAUAAAGCGAUAUUAAGCACCAUACUAUAUCUCAGCAACAUGCAUAUGUUUGAAUGGAGUUCAUGAAAGGCACUCUGUGCUAUAUGCAAAUGGAACAUAUUUUUCUCUCUUAAUAUUUGAUUCUUUCUGUUGUGGCAGACAGACCCUAAGGUUUUCAAUCUCUUGGUGUUAAAGCCUUUGUGUAAUCCCCUUCUUUAGAAUGUGAACUAGAUUUGUGACUUGCUUCUAACUAACAGAAUAUGACACACAUAAAGCAAUGUCACAUCUGUGAUUACAUUACACUGUGUAAAACUGUUCUGCUAGCUCUCCUUGUCCUGUUGAUCUUUAAGAAGCAAACUGAGAUGUUUUGGUGAGGGUCUGCUUACGAAAAAGGUUACGUGGCAGAAAAAAUAAAUGGCUAAGCACUAAAGGUGGCCUCCAUUUGACAACCUUUAUGGAUCCAGAGCCCUCAGCCACAGAGCUUCAAGAAAACAAAUUCUACCAACAGCCUACACGAGCUUGGAAGUGAGUUAUUUUGCCAUUUGAGACUCCAGAUAAAUACACACCUUUGAUAGCAGAUUGUGAGACCCAUAGUAUUUUUCUGUAUUAUGAAUAUAUAGUUACCACUGUUUCACCAAUGUGCUGUUUUUAGAAUCCUGCUAAACAAUAAACAAAAAUUAUUUUUAUUUGUGGCUAAUGAGCAAGAAAAUCUAUAAUACAAUCAAAUAGGUGUGUACUUGUUGAGUCAAAAGACAUGAAUUUGAAUAGAUAUCAUCAAAAUAGUCUCCCCAAAUUAGGAUUUAAUUUAUCCUUUUAUCAUAGUGCAAAGAAUUCAUGGUCCAAAGGAUAUUUAACCUCCACUACCUUAAGAACUCAAAGUUAGCACUGCCAACAGACAAUGGAUUUUAGAGACUGCCCUAGAUUCAUUGCCAAUGUUAUCUCUGAAAAUGAGAUUUAGCUCAUGACACAUAUAACACACCAUUCAUCUGCAUGAUUCAUUCUCCUUCAAAUAACUCAAUUUGGGGUGGGUUUAUUUGACUGACAAAGAAAAUAUCAUAGGCUUGUUGUUGAAUUACAAGUAAAGUUAGUAAAGUGAAUAUCUACCAUGAUUUGUUUCUUUAGUAAAUUGUAUUGCAAUGUUGUAUAUGCCCAAAGUAUAAAGUUCACCAAAAAAAGGCAAAUGUCCACCCUAUAUUAAUUUAUUCAUUUAUCUACCAAAGCAAUUCUAGACCUGUUCUAGCAUGUUAGUUAUAUAUAUAGACUUAGGUAUGCCCCAGAGUAUUACUGCUAUAAAGAACUACCUGAAACUGAGUAAUUUAUGAAGAAAGAGAUUUAAUUGGCUCACCGUUCCACAGGCUUAACAGGAAGCAUAACUGAGAGGCCUCAGGAAACUUACAGUCAUGGUGUAAGGUGGAGGGGAAGCAAGCACAUUCUUCACAUGGUGGCAGGAGAGAGAGAAAGAACGAGGGGGAAGUUCCAUACAGUUUUAAACCAUCAGAUCUCCUGAGACUAAACUCACUAUCAUGAGAACAGCAUGGCGAAAUCUGCCCUCAUAAUGCAGUCACUUCUCACCAGAUCCCUCCACCAACAUUGGGAGAUACAAUUCAACAUGAGAUUUGGAUGGGGACACAGAGCCAAACCAUAUCAGGUAUAUUUGCAAGAACACUUUACAGAAAAUAAAAAGGCCAAGAACAAUGCAUUGAAAAGUUACUGUAUCUGCGGAGGUAAAGGAGGCAAGCAUAAAGCAGUCUUUCUAGAAGUGCGCAUGAGAGGAUUAGCAGGGAGGUAGAAAAGAUGCCAGACCAAGGGGAGGAUAGCUUAUUUGUUUUUAUGUAUUUUGAAAAGUGAUACUCUUGUAUAAUUCAUAUGCUUAGACUAAAGUGUCCAUAGGCAGAGUGAAAUUAAAGGCAAAUAUAGAUUCAUAUGUGGAGAAAGGACCUGCUAGAAAUGAGAAGAUAAAUGUUUCAGGUGUAUAUAUCAAGAGGGAAAAGAAACUUCUUGUUUCAGGGGAAAGUUUACAGACAAAAAAAAGUAGAUAUAUUUUUAAAGUCCACACUUUCUGAGUUGAGAAUGGAAAUAGAAAAUGACACUCUGACAGAGAGAAAGGUAUACCUGCCCAGAGAUACAGAGAGCAUGCCAAACUUCAUGUAGGGCUAGGAUAUGUUGAAAAAUCAAACCUCAUGUUGAAAACUCAUCCCCAGUGUUAGAGAUGGGCCCUGGUGGGAGGUGUGUGGGUCAUGGGGAUACAUCAUUCAUGAGUCUUGACGCUGUCCUCACAAUAAUGAGGGAGUUCUCCCUCGGAGUUCACAUGAGAUCUCAUUGUCUAAAAGAGUGUGGCACCUCCCCGCUCUCUCUCUUGCUCCCCUCUUUCCACGUGAGACCGUGGCUCUCUCUUCACUUCCUGUGAUGAUUAUAAGCUCCCUGACACCCUCACCCAAAGCUGAGCAGAUGCCAGCACUAUUCUUGUAGAAGCCUGCAGAAUGUGAGCCAAUUAAAUGGCUUUUCUUUAUAAAUUUUCCAGCCUCUGUAUUUGUUUAUAGUGACACAAAUGGAAUAACACAGGCUAUUUUGUAUUUUUAUUUCUUUGGGCAUAACUGCUUUAUACUUACUCUUUUUCAGUUUUUUUUCUCCUGAAGAACUUUCAUUUACUACAUAAAAUAGGAACAGGCAUUAUUUCCUCAGAAAAAUCCUUCUUCUCUUUUUUUUUGUAACAUUAAGUAAGAUAGAUCCCACUCCAUGUUUGUUCUCUUUUUCACAAUGCUGUAUAUAUCUACUCAUAUAUGCAUAUAUUUUGGUAUAUAUAACUGUCUACAUUUUGAAAAAUACUUUGGAAAAAUAUUAUGGAAGUUUCACAAAAAAAGAAAAAUAGAAUUACCAUCUAAUCCAGCAAUCCCGUUUUUGGGUAUAUUCAAAUGAAUUGAAAUAAGUAUGGUGAAGAGAUGUUUGCACUCCUAUAUUCACUCCAGUAUUAUUCACAGUAGGCAAUAUUUGGAAGAAACAUAAGUAUCCAUCAGCAGAUAAAUACAUUUUUAAAAUGUGAUACACACAGAAACACAUAGAUACACACACACACACAAACACAGAGAGACAGAGAGAGCAUGGAAUUCUAUUAAGCUUUUAAGGUUUGCAACAAAAUAAGCAAAUCUGGAGGAUAUUAUGCUAAGUAAAAUAAGCCAAACACAGAAAAACAAUUAUCACAUGAUCUCACUUAUAUGCAGAAUUAAAAAUUUGAAUUCAUAAAUGCAGAGAGUAGAUUUGUGGUUACCAGAGCCUGAGGGAUGAGGAGGACAUGGAUGGGAAAAGGGAAAAUUUUGUUCAAAAGACACAAAUUUCAGUUAAAUGAGAGGAAUAACUUCUGGUGAUCUAUUGCGCAGUGAAGGGACUAGAGUUGAUAUUUAUGUAUUAUAUAUUUCAAAGUUGCUGAGAGGAGAUUUUAAAAGUUUUCUCACUGCAAAAAACAAUGGUAAAUAUGUGAGAUAAUAAAUAUGUUAAAUUUGUUAGCUUGAUAUGGUCAUUCCACAGUGCAUCAAUUUAUUGAAGCAUCACAUGCCACACCGUAAAUAAGUAAAACCAUUUUUUGUUAAUUAAAAGUAAAUUGCUUAAAAUGUGAAAACUGCUUGACCCUUUAAUGUUUUGCAGCCUACAUUGUAGAAAUAAUCUAAGGUAUUACUGAUAGGUGUUAUCUAACUUAUGUAUAUAUUUUACUGUAAGAGAAAGACAGUUACCCAUAGAAAAAAACAACACUGAACUUGGGAAGACUUCAACCUCUUCACUCUCCAACCUCCACUCCCUUCAGAGGUAGAAUUUUUCUGAAAGGAUCAGGAAAAUGUAUUUUCUCUGCACAAUUUUCUCUCCAAGAAAAGCAUACUAAGAAUGUUUGCUUCUUAUACUCCACAUAGCCAUCAUCUACCACAGUCAUUCAUCUGGACUUCAAGUCUGCCCUGCUGGGAAGUAGGUCACCACCUCUACACUGGGCCACUGUCAAGAUCCAAAAUGUGCUAAAACUUAGUCACCACUCUAUUUGGUAGCAAUCCAAAGUGGACCAAAACAUUUCCUAAGUAAUACCAAGGUCAAAAAUAUAAUGUCGAUAUGUCAAAUUUUGAUCUCUGUGAGUGGAUACUAGUAAAUGGAGAGUUGUUAUGAGUAGGAUGAGAGGAAAGUUGUUGGUUGUUUCAUAAAAGCAAAGAAAAUUAAGGAAAUAAAAGUAAGCCAUCAACAAGUACAUGUCCAGCAUUAGGAGACAUACCUAAUGUAAAUGACAAGUUAAUGGGUGCAGCACACCAACAUGGCGCAUGUAUAC